GCGAUGUUCACCACACGGCACACCAUGUACUCAUUUGAGGCCGAGUCGACCUAGACGAGUCCCAGGACCUGAUUCAAGAAAGUCGAUACUGGUGUUUCUGUCAUCCGUGAGCGGGAAUCGAACUCAGGUUGCUGGUGGCCCUUUACUUGCUCGAAUAAAAAAAUCUGAAAUAGUUUAAGUGUUCAUAAUUAAGGUCUUUGGGUUAGAUCGCGUUAUUAUUCAUAAAUGUGUCGCAACCCUCCCACCACCCGACACGGCCAAUCAAUAAUAAAUGUUUCAUGUUGACAAAACGUCAAUCAGUUUACUCCUCCAGCCCGUCGGCGCGCGUCCGCGUGCGUGAAGAGUGAAUCCACAACAUGAAGAAUUCGAGUUGUACGACGUUUCGCUGGUAAUUACAACCGGCAACUACAGGGGCGAUUAGCCAGAAUCGUGAAGCCCUCCCACCUGCUUCCGGUUUUAAGUAGUUGCAGGAUGACGUCUUCGUUGUUGAACCCCGUCACGUUUCGAGAUCAGCGGCGGAGGUGGGGUUAUGGGGUAUUGUAAUUAUAUAAUAGAUUAUUAAUCAGUUAAUUAGCAUUUGACUCCUCUCUAAGGAAUUGCAAUGUGCGUUGUAUAUUGCUGAAGUGUUCUGCAGUUUCUCUCUCUCUCUCUCCCGGUAUCGCUAAAAUCAAACGUUGCAGUGGCACGUUUGCUAAUUAUCAGAUAAUGUGCUUAUUUAUAAUAGUUGUUUGCCUUUUGAUUCAUCAUACAUUUUAUUCACGUAACCCUUUUUGCUGAUUUUUUUAACCGUUACAUGAACAGGACUGGUGACAUGUGAUCAUGUGAAGCAACCCUUAAACACAUGAAAAGACAUAGGUUUAGGAUUUAUGAGUAAAGCUCUACUAUCUACACGACAUACAUAGACGUCCAAUUAAAAAAAAAAAAACUUUAAUAUCUUUGGAACAGUAGCCAGUCAGUUGUUUUAAUUGUCAUAUUUGAAUUCAGCGCGUCAAAAUCCAUAACAAAGAGCACAUGUCACCUCUGAAGCAGACCAUGUCUAUAAAAAAAAACAUGUAGACCAGUGGAAUGUAAUCCUGUUUGUUUGCGUGGUCAGAUCUGUAACUCACAAGCGGGAGACGAAGGCAAUCCUCAAAUCUGGGCUUACGCAUCAAGAAGCUCCGUUUGUGUUCCAUCGCGUGUAAGGUGGAAGGAGCUGGUCACGGUGACUCACGUGGAGUUGAUGCGAUACGAAUGAGAUUCGUGGGUGGAGUUGCGAUGAUGUUGGGAGACUCGCCCUGGAGAUCACAGAACCACGUUGUAUCGCAGGGUUAAUUAACGAGCUAUGAGUCUGUCUCUGUGUGUAACUUGGGGUGGAUGGGGCUGGUCACGGUGACUCACGUGGAGUUGAUGCGAUACGAAUGAGAGUCGUGGGUGGAGUUGCGAUGCUUUUGGGAGACUCGCCCUGGAGAUCACAGAACCACGUUGAUCGAAGGGUUAAUUAACGAGCUAUGACUCUGUCUCUGUGUGUAACUUGGGGUGGAUGGGGCUGGUCACGGUGACUCACGUGGAGUUGAUGCGAUACGAAUGACAGUCGUGGGUGGAGUUGCGAUGAUGUUGGGAGACUCGCCCUGGAGAUCACAGAACCACGUUUUAUCGCAGGGUUAAUUAGCGAGCUGUAAGUCUGUCUCUGUGUGUAACUUGGGGUGGUCACGGUGACUCACGUGGAGUUGAUGCGAUACGAAUGAGAGUCGUGGGUGGAGUUGCGAUGAUGUUGGGAGACUCGCCCUGGAUAUCACAGAACCACGUUGAUCGAAGGGUUAAUUAGCGAGCUGUAAGUCUGUCUCUGUGUGUAACUUGGGGUGGUCACGGUGACUCACGUGGAGUUGAUGCGAUACGAAUGAGAGUCGUGGGUGGAGUUGCGAUGAUGUUGGGAGACUCGCCCUGGAGAUCACAGAACCACGUUUUAUCGCAGGGUUAAUUAACGAGCUAUGACUCUGUCUCUGUGUGUAACUUGGGGUGGAUGGAGCUGGUCACGGUGACUCACGUGGAGUUGAUGCGAUACGAAUGAGAGUCGUGGGUGGAGUUGCGAUGAUGUUGGGAGACUCGCCCUGGAGAUCACAGAACCACGUUUUAUCGCAGGGUUAAUUAACGAGCUAUGAGUCUGUCUCUGUGUGUAACUUGGGGUGGUCACGGUGACUCACGUGGAGUUGAUGCGAUACGAAUGAGAGUCGUGGGUGGAGUUGCGAUGAUGUUGGGAGACUCGCCCUGGAGAUCACAGACACACGUUUUAUCGCAGGGUUAAUUAACGAGCUAUGACUCUGUCUCUGUGUGUAACUUGGGGUGGAUGGGGCUGGUCACGGUGACUCACGUGGAGUUGAUGCGAUACGAAUGAGAGUCGUGGGUGGAGUUGCGAUGAUGUUGGGAGACUCGCCCUGGAGAUCACAGAACCACGUUGAUUGAAGGGUUAAUUAACGAGCUGUAAGUCUGUCUCUGUGUGUAACUUGGGGUGGUCACGGUGACUCACGUGGAGUUGAUGCGAUACGAAUGAGAGUCGUGGGUGGAGUUGCGAUGCUGUUGGGAGACUCGCCCUGGAUAUCACAGAACCACGUUGAUCGAAGGGUUAAUUAGCGAGCUGUAAGUCUGUCUCUGUGUGUAACUUGGGGUGGUCACGGUGACUCACGUGGAGUUGAUCCGAUACGAAUGAGAGUCGUGGGUGGAGUUGCGAUGCUGUUGGGAGACUCGCCCUGGAGAUCACAGAACCACGUUGAUCGAAGGGUUAAUUAGCGAGCUGUGAGUCUGUCUCUGUGUGUAACUUGGGGUGGUCACGGUGACUCACGUGGAGUUGAUGCGAUACGAAUGAGAGUCGUGCGUGGAGUUGCGAUGAUGUUGGGAGACUCGCCCUGGAGAUCACAGAACCACGUUUUAUCGCAGAGUUAAUUAACGAGCUAUGACUCUGUCUCUGUGUGUAACUUGGGGUGGAUGGGGCUGGUCACGGUGACUCACGUGGAGUUGAUGCGAUACGAAUGAGAGUCGUGGGUGGAGUUGCGAUGCUGUUGGGAGACUCGCCCUGGAUAUCACAGAACCACGUUUUAUCGCAGGGUUAAUUAGCGAGCUGUAAGUCUGUCUCUGUGUGUAACUUGGGGUGGUCACGGUGACUCACGUGGAGUUGAUGCGAUACGAAUGAGAGUCCGUGGGUGGAGUUGCGAUGCUGUUGGGAGACUCGCCCUGGAUAUCACAGAACCACGUUGAUCGAAGGGUUAAUUAACGAGCUAUGAGUCUGUCUCUGUGUGUAACUUGGGGUGGUCACGGUGACUCACGUGGAGUUGAUGCGAUACGAAUGAGAGUCGUGGGUGGAGUUGCGAUGAUGUUGGGAGACUCGCCCUGGAGAUCACAGAACCACGUUUUAUCGCAGGGUUAAUUAACGAGCUAUGACUCUGUCUCUGUGUGUAACUUGGGGUGGAUGGGGCUGGUCACAGUGACUCACGUGGAGUUGAUGCGAUACGAAUGAGAGUCGAGAGUGGAGUUGAAAUACUGUUUGGGAGACUCGCCCUGGAUAUCA